rnacentral:rRNA from 1 species
UAGGGAAUCUUCGGCAAUGGACGAAAGUCUGACCGAGCAACGCCGCGUGAGUGAAGAAGGUUUUCGGAUCGUAAAACUCUGUUGUUAGAGAAGAACAAGGACGUUAGUAACUGCACGUCCCCUGACGGUAUCUAACCAGAAAGCCACGGCUAACUACGUGCCAGCAGCCGCGGUAAUACGUAGGUGGCAAGCGUUGUCCGGAUUGAUUGGGCGUAAAGCGAGCGCAGGCGGUUUCUUAAGUCUGAUGUGAAAGCCCCCGGCUCAACCGGGGAGGGUCAUUGGAAACUGGGAGACUUGAGUGCAGAAGAGGAGAGUGGAAUUCCAUGUGUAGCGGUGAAAUGCGUAGAUAUAUGGAGGAACACCAGUGGCGAAGGCGGCUCUCUGGUCUGUAACUGACGCUGAGGCUCGAAAGCGUGGGGAGCAAACAGG